rnacentral:misc_RNA from 1 species
GAUGAAGAACGUAGCGAAAUGCGAUAAGUAAUGUGAAUUGCAGAAUUCAGUGAAUCAUCGAAUCUUUGAACGCACAUUGCGCCCGCCAGUAUUCUGGCGAGCAUGCCUGUUCGAGCGUCAUUUCAACCAUCAAGCCCCAGGCUUGUGUUGGAGCCCUGCGGCUGCCGCAGCCUCCCAAGACCAGUGGCGGGCUCGCUAUCACACCGAGUGCAGUAGUUUACUCUUCGCUCAGGGCGUGUGGCGGGUGCUAGCCGUGAAACCCCCAACUUCUCAAGGUUGACCUCGGAUCAGGUAGGAAUACCCGCUGAACUUAAGCAUAUCAAUAAGCGGAGGA